rnacentral:rRNA from 1 species
UGCGCAGGCGGUUUUGUAAGACAGGCGUGAAAUCCCCGGGCUCAACCUGGGAAUGGCGUUUGUGACUGCAAGGCUAGAGUAUGGCAGAGGGGGGUAGAAUUCCACGUGUAGCAGUGAAAUGCGUAGAGAUGUGGAGGAAUACCGAUGGCGAAGGCAGCCCCCUGGGCCAAUACUGACGCUCAUGCACGAAAGCGUGGGGAGCAAACAGGAUUAGAUACCCUGGUAGUCCACGCCCUAAACGAUGUCAACUAGGUGUUGGGUGGGUAAAACCAUCUAGUACCGGAGCUAACGCGUGAAGUUGACCGCCUGGGGAGUACGGCCGCAAGGUUAAA